rnacentral:rRNA from 1 species
AUCCUGGCUUAGAUUGAACGCUGCGGCAGGCCUAACACAUGCAAGUCGAACGGUAACAGGAAGCAGCUUGCUGCUCGCUGACGAGUGGCGGACGGGUGAGUAAUGUCUGGGAAACUGCCUGAUGGAGGGGGAUAACUACUGGAAACGGUAGCUAAUACCGCAUAACGUCGCAAGACCAAAGAGGGGGACCUUCGGGCCUCUUGCCAUCAGAUGUGCCCAGAUGGGAUUAGCUAGUUGGUGGGGUAACGGCUCACCAAGGCGACGAUCCCUAGCUGGUCUGAGAGGAUGACCAGCCACACUGGAACUGAGACACGGUCCAGACUCCUACGGGAGGCAGCAGUGGGGAAUAUUGCACAAUGGGCGCAAGCCUGAUGCAGCCAUGCCCGCGUGUAUGAAGAAGGCCUUCGGGUUGUAAAGUACUUUCAGCGGGGAGGAAGGUGUUGUGGUUAAUAACCGCAACAAUUGACGUUACCCGCAGAAGAAGCACCGGCUAACUCCGUGCCAGCCGCGGC